GCCAGACUCCUACGGGAGGCAGCAGUGGGGAAUAUUGCACAAUGGGGGAAACCCUGAUGCAGCGACGCCGCGUGAGUGAAGAAGUAUUUCGGUACGUAAAGCUCUAUCAGCAGGGAAGAAAAAAAGUCCUUUGGACUUUGGACGGUACCUGACUAAGAAGCCCCGGCUAACUACGUGCCAGCAGCCGCGGUAAUACGUAGGGGGCAAGCGUUAUCCGGAUUUACUGGGUGUAAAGGGAGCGUAGACGGAAAGGCAAGUCAGAAGUGAAAACCCAAGGCUCAACCAUGGGACUGCUUUUGAAACUGUCAAACUAGAGUACGGGAGAGGUAAGAGGAAUUCCUAGUGUAGCGGUGAAAUGCGUAGAUAUUAGGAGGAACACCAGUGGCGAGGGCGUCUUACUGGACCGAAACUGACGUUGAGGCUCGAAAGCGUGGGGAGCAAACAGGAUUAGAUACCCCGGUAGG
rnacentral:rRNA from 1 species